AUUGAACGCUGGCGGCAGGCCUAACACAUGCAAGUCGAACGGGUGGCGGACGGGUGAGUAAUUUCUGGGAAACUGCCUGAUGGAGGGGGAUAACUACUGUAAACGGUAGCUAAUACCGCAUACCAUCAGAUGUGGCCAUGUGGGAUUAGCUAGUUGGGGGGGUAACGGAUCACCAAGGCGACGAUCCCUAGCUGGUCUGAGAGGAUGACCAGCCACACUGGAACUGAGAAACGGGCCAGACUCCUACGGGAGGCAGCAGUGGGGAAUAUUGCACAAUGGGCGAAAGCCUGAUGCAGCCAUGCCGCGUGUAUGAAGAAGGCCUUCGGGUUGUAAAGUACUGUCAGCGGGGAGGCGUUACCCGAAGAAGAAGCACCGGCUAACUCCGUGCCAGCAGCCGCGGUAAUAC
rnacentral:rRNA from 1 species